CACGUGAUGAGAGGAAGUGACAUCACGGCAGGCUGCCGUGGACCUUCUGAUGCUCCCUCGGAAGGAGGGUCAUCUGUUUCCGAGCCACCGUUGACCACAGUCUAACCCAAGAUACUGCUGGCUUACUUAAGACGGGGGAACUUUCUCCGAGUAGAGUGGCAUGUCAAGAUAAAGAAGGUCCCGCCAGUCUCCGGUUCUCACACUUUAUGCAGAAGAUGGCGUAUUUUGAAAUUUCCCCGGGUUCGGGACUCGGGGUUAGGAGUGAGGAAAAAUACAUCUCGUUUGCUGAACAGCCACGCUCACUGCACACAGCCCUGCCUGCCAGGGAGAUGAGGCACCUCCAUUUCACAGUUGCGGGAAGCACGGCUCGGGCUGAUUAAGGGCGUGCCCAAGGCCAGAGACAAACAGAGGUAAACUGAGGUUUCUCCCCGCGUCCUCAGGUUCCUCUUUCCAGCGUACCACACUGCCUUUCUUGUAAACACGCAGCGGAUCUGAGGGUGGGACAGAGGGAAGACGAGAGACAGACGGGGUGGGCUUCUGGCUGCCUGGUUUACCAGCCUCUACUUUGAGCACCUCUAGCAACCCCCUGGUUCUUAGAGUUCUCCAGCACCAAGGAACGAGCCCAGCGUCCUCAUCUCCCAAGGGCGUGUCCGAUUCAACCACCAGCAGUCAGCAAUGUUACAGAGCAUUUACAAAAUGUAAGAAGUAGUUUAUCAGUUGUCCAAUCAGACCGUGUGGCUCUGCUCCUUACACUUAGAAGGUAGCCCAUAAGAUCCUGUGGAUCUGGGGGUGCCUGUGUGGCUCAGUCAAUUGAGCGUCCAACUUCGGCUCAGGUCAUGAUCUCACGGUCUGUGAGUUCGAGCCCCGCAUUGGGCUCUGUACUGACAGCUCGGAGCCUGGAGCCUGCUUCGGAUUCUGUGUCUCCCUGUCUCUCUGCCCCUCCCCCCCCAUGCUCUGUCUCUCUCUUUGUCAAAAAUAAACAUUAAAAAAAAAUUUUUUUUAAAUCCUGCGGAUCUGAUCCCUGUCUGCUCUUCUAGUCCCUUCUCCUCACCCUCAUCCUUGCUCUCCGUGUGUGGUCAGUUCCUCUAACACAGUGCCUCUCUAAUGUGAGCUGCGGCACCGGCCAUGGCCUGGGAGCUGGAUGGAAAUUUGGGAGCUCAGACCCAUCCCAGAACUCCCGAGUCAGAAUCUGCCUUUUGAUAAUAUCCCCAGGUGCACCCUAAAGUGUGAGAUGCACCACUAUCCCACACCCCAGUUUUUCCACCUCAGGACCUUUGCACGUGCUGCCCCCUCCAUCUAGACAAUCCUCUUUUCUCUUGACCUGGCUUGGCCCCACUCAUCCUGGACUCAUAUGCCACUUCCUCAGAAAAGCCUCCCUCCAUCCUCCCUUCACUUAAGUUAUUCUCCCUUAACCGUCCAAUUCUUUUCGUUCAGGCACUUUUUGCAGUGUGUAAUUACAGAGUUAUUGCACGCCCGUCUCCGUGAAGGCUGAGACGAUGUCUCACUGCCUGCGCAGGAACACGGUAGGCUCUGCACAAACACGUGUUGAAUGAAUAAACAUGGGGCUGUUUCUGGUUCUGGUUGGAGAGAAGCCCACAGACAGAACCCGCUGGAGGCAUCGGUCUCUCUAGGCAUUUCCAUUCCAUUCCAGCAAAUAUUUACUGAGUGCUAUUAUGUGUCCAGAGCUAGGGUCACAUAUGUAAGGAAACUACUUGUGACAAAGUGCCUCCCAGAAUUUUGGCACAGCAGUUCUGUUUCCUUGUUCAGGGCACAGGGUCAGGGGCUGAAUAAAACAAAGCCAAGAAGGCUUCGUUCCUGGUGGUAACGACAAGGAACCUCAGAAGAAGGGAUAGGAAAUUAAUAUUUCCUAGCCCCAAGGGACAUUAAGGAGGACACUUGUUGGGAUGAGCACUGGGUGUUAUAUGUAGGGGAUGAAUCACUGGAAUCUAGUCCUGAAAUCAUUAUUGCACUAUAUGCUAACUCACUUGGAUGUAAAUUUUAAAAAAUAAAUAAUAAAAUCAAUCAAUAAAUUAAAA